CGCAUCUGUGCAUGCAGCAUAUCAAUAAGCGGAGGAAAAGAAACUAACAAGGAUUCCCCUAGUAACGGCGAGUGAAGCGGGAAGAGCUCAAAUUUGAAAUCUUAAAGGGUUUCCCUUUACGAAUUGUAGUUUAAAGAAGUGUUUUCUGGUGGUGAGGUUUUGGUAAAAGUUCUUUGGAAUAGGACAUCAUAGAGGGUGAGAAUCCCGUAUUUGACCUUUACUUUCAACUUUGUGAUACACUUUCAAAGAGUCGGAUUGUUUGGGAAUGCAGUCCAAAAUGGGUGGUAAACUUCAUCUAAAGCUAAAUAUUGGCGAGAGACCGAUAGCGAACAAGUACCGUGAGGGAAAGAUGAAAAGAACUUUGAAAAGAGAGUUAAACAGUACGUGAAAUUGUCAAAAGGGAAGCGUUUGACACCAGUGUUGUUUUUCUGAAAAUCAAUUAAAGAACUGUUUAUGCUAAGUUGUUUAGACUUUAUCAGCUAACUGUUUAGUUUUGAGCUUUUCUUUAAUGCACUUUUCAGUUAACAAGUCAACAUCAAUUUCUUUUGCUGUAAAAAAGCUUGAGGAAGGUGGCUUGAGAUUCGUCUUAAGUGUUUAUAGCCUCUUGCCUAUGCAGUCGGAGAGAUUGAGGUCUGCAGCGUAGAUCCUUCGGGGCUAAAUGCAUUUGUGCUAAGUUAUAGCAUUUUAUAGACAACUUGUUGACUAUGAUUUGUCUUGUAGCUUACUCGCUUAUGUUAUUUUACCUACGCUUAGGAUGUUGAACGCGCACAGAGUCUC
rnacentral:rRNA from 1 species